rfam:[Clostridium] clariflavum DSM 19732 chromosome, complete genome.
GAGAGUAGGCCUCUCGAAAUCGGUAUUCAGGUGCAGGUUUCAAACUGCCUGUAGGUGCUGCAGUCAAAAGCUGUGGUAUUGAGCGUUACAGGAAAAGGUUGAUGAAUCAAUCAAGU